GACAGAGGAUGCAAGCGUUAUCCGGAAUGAUUGGGCAUAAAGCGUCUGUAGGUGGCUUUUUAAGUCCGCCGUCAAAUCCCAGGGCUCAACCCUGGACAGGCGGUGGAAACUACCAAGCUGGAGUACGGUAGGGGCAGAGGGAAUUUCCGGUGGAGCGGUGAAAUGCGUAGAGAUCGGGAAGAACACCAAAGGCGAAAGCACUUUGCUGGGCCGAAACUGACACUGAUAGAACGAAAGCUAGGGGAGCAAAUGGG
rnacentral:rRNA from 1 species